rnacentral:rRNA from 1 species
ACCAAUGCUAGCCCACAUAACACUAAACUCAACUAACACUACAGAAUAAAACAAAACAUUUACCCUAAUAAAAGUAUAGGAGAUAGAAAUUUUAAUUGGCGCUAUAGAGAAAGUACCGCAAGGGAACGAUGAAAGAUAAAUUAAAAGUAAAAAACAGCAAAGAUUACCCCUUGUACCUUUUGCAUAAUGNUNUAACUAGAACAACUUGACAAAGAGAACUAAAGCCAAAGAACCUGAAACCAGACGAGCUACCUAAGAGCAGNNNAAGAGCAAACUCAUCUAUGUGGCAAAAUAGUGANAAGACUCCUAGGUAGUGGUGAAAAGCCUACCGAGCCUGGUGAUAGCUGGUUGUCCAGAACAGAAUUUUAGUUCGACUUUAAGCCUGCCUAAAAAACCAAAAACUUAUAAUGCAGACUUAAAAUAUAAUCUAAAAGGGUACAGCCUUUUAGAAACAGGAUACAACCUUAAUUAGAGGGUAAGUAGAAAAAAAAUCCAUAGUUGGCUUAAAAGCAGCCACCAAUUAAGAAAGCGUUCAAGCUCAACCACCCAAAAAUACCUCAAUUCAAAUAACAGACAUACGAACCCCUAAAUCAAUACUGGACUAUUCUAUUACAAAAUAGAAGAGAUACUGUUAAUAUGAGUAACAAGAACUAGAUUCUCCCCGCACAAGCUUAUAUCAGGACGGAUAAUCCACUGAUAAUUAACAAUAAGAUAAAUCCAACACCACAAUUAAACAAUUUAUCAAACUAAUUGUUAGUCCAACACAGGAGUGCACUCAGGGAAAGAUUAAAAGAAGUAAAAGGAACUCGGCAAACACAAACCCCGCCUGUUUACCAAAAACAUCACCUCCAGCAUAACAACUAUUGGAGGCACUGCCUGCCCAGUGACAUCUGUUAAACGGCCGCGGUAUCCUGACCGUGCAAAGGUAGCAUAAUCACUUGUUCUCUAAAUAAGGACUUGUAUGAAUGGCCACACGAGGGUUUUACUGUCUCUUACUUCCAAUCAGUGAAAUUGACCUUCCCGUGAAGAGGCGGGAAUACAAAAAUAAGACGAGAAGACCCUAUGGAGCUUUAAUUAACUAACCCAUAAACAAAACAAACAAUACUUCUAAAGAAGACAAACAAACUGUUUACUGAGUUAGCAAUUUGGGUUGGGGUGACCUCGGAAUACAAAACAACUUCCGAGUGAUUAAAAUCUAGACUAACAAGUCAAAAUAUAUAAUCAUUUAUUGAUCCAAAAUUUUUGAUCAACGGAACAAGUUACCCUAGGGAUAACAGCGCAAUCCUAUUUGAGAGUCCAUAUCGAUAAUAGGGUUUACGACCUCGAUGUUGGAUCAGGACAUCCCAAUGGUGCAGCCGCUAUUAAUGGUUCGUUUGUUCAACGAUUAAAGUCCUACGUGAUCUGAGUUCAGACCGGAGCAAUCCAGGUCGGUUUCUAUCUAUUUUGUGUUCCUCCCAGUACGAAAGGACAAGAGAAACAAGGCCAACUUAACAUAAGAGCCCUUAAAGCCAAUAGAUGAUAUAAUCUUAAUCUAACAACAACAACACAUACAACCCAAGAAAAGGGUCA